ACGAACGCUGGCGGCGUGCCUAAUACCUGCCGGUCGAGCGGACUGAUUAAGAGCUUGCUCUUAUGACGUUAGCGGCGGACGGGUGAGUAACACGUGGGCAACCUGCCCUGUAGAUCGGGAUAACACCGAGAAAUCGGUGCUAAUACCGGGUAAUAUCUGAGAUCACAUGAUCUUAGGUUAAAAGAUGGCUCCGGCUAUCACUACAGGAUGGGCCCGCGGCGCAUUAGCUAGUUGGUAAGGUAAUGGCUUACCAAGGCGACGAUGCGUAGCCGACCUGAGAGGGUGAUCGGCCACACUGGGACUGAGACACGGCCCAGACUCCUACGGGAGGCAGCAGUAGGGAAUCUUCCGCAAUGGACGAAAGUCUGACGGAGCAACGCCGCGUGAGUGAUGAAGGGUUUCGGCGCGUAAAGCUCUGUUGUUAGGGAAGAAACAGUACCGAACGAACUAGGUCGGUACCUUGACGGUACCUAACCAGAAAGCCACGGCUAACUACGUG
rnacentral:rRNA from 1 species